rnacentral:rRNA from 1 species
GAUGAACGCUGGCUACAGGCUUAACACAUGCAAGUCGAGGGGAAACGACGGGGAAGCUUGCUUCCCCGGGCGUCGACCGGCGCACGGGUGAGUAACGCGUAUCCAACCUGCCUCUGACUGAGGGAUAACCCGUCGAAAGUCGGCCUAAUACCUCAUGGCAUCGUCUGCGGGCAUCCAACGACGAUUAAAGAUUUCAUCGGUCAGGGAUGGGGAUGCGUCUGAUUAGCUUGUUGGCGGGGUAACGGCCAACCAAGGCUACGAUCAGUAGGGGUUCUGAGAGGAAGGCCCCCCAGAUUGGAACUGAGACACGGUCCACACUCGUACGGGAGGCAGAAGUGAGGAAUAUUGGUCAAUGGGAGGGAGACUGAACCAGCCAAGUAGCGUGCAGGAUGACGGCGCUAUGGGUUGUAAACUGCUUUUAUGCGGGGAUAAAGUGAGGGACGUGUCCUUCAUUGCAGGUACCGCAUGAAUAAGGACCGGCUAAUUCCGUG